rnacentral:rRNA from 1 species
CAGAGGGGGCGAGCGUUGUUCGGAAUUACUGGGCGCAAAGGGCGCGUAGGCGGCCUUCUAAGUCGAACGUGAAAUCCCCGGGCUCAACCCGGGAACUGCGUCCGAUACUGGGAGGCUUGAAUCCGGGAGAGGGAUGUGGAAUUCCAGGUGUAGCGGUGAAAUGCGUAGAUAUCUGGAGGAACACCGGUGGCGAAGGCGGCAUCCUGGACCGGUAUUGACGCUGAGGCGCGAAAGCCAGGGGAGCAAACGGGAUUAGAUACCCCGGUAGUCCUGGCCCUAAACGAUGAAUGCUUGGUGUGGCGGGUAUCGAUCCCUGCCGUGCCGAAGCUAACGCAUUAAGCAUUCCGCCUGGGGAGUACGGUCGCAAGGCUG